rnacentral:rRNA from 1 species
UACGUAGGGUGCGAGCGUUAAUCGGAAUUACUGGGCGUAAAGCGUGCGCAGGCGGUUUUGUAAGCCAGAUGUGAAAUCCCCGGGCUUAACCUGGGAAUGGCAUUUGGGACUGCAAGGCUUGAGUGUGGCAGAGGAGACUGGAAUUCCUGGUGUAGCAGUGAAAUGCGUAGAUAUCAGGAGGAACACCGAUGGCGAAGGCAGGUCUCUGGGCAUUAACUGACGCUGAGGAGCGAAAGCAUGGGGAGCGAACAGG